rnacentral:tRNA from 1 species
GGAAAGUUGCCGGAGUGGUCGAUCGGGCCGCACUCGAAAUGCGGUAAACGGGUAACUGUUUCGGGGGUUCGAAUCCCUCACUUUCCGCCA